rnacentral:rRNA from 1 species
UGGGGAAUAUUGGACAAUGGGCGCAAGCCUGAUCCAGCCAUGCCGCGUGAGUGAUGCAGGCCCUAGGGUUGUAAAGCUCUUUCACCGGUGAAGAUAAUGACGGUAACCGGAGAAGAAGCCCCGGCUAACUUCGUGCCAGCAGCCGCGGUAAUACGAAGGGGGCUAGCGUUGUUUGGAUUUACUGGGCGUAAAGCGCACGUAGGCGGACUAUUAAGUCAGGGGUGAAAUCCCGGGGCUCAACCCCGGAACUGCCUUUGAUACUGGUAGUCUUGAGUUCGAGAGAGGUGAGUGGAAUUCCGAGUGUAGAGGUGAAAUUCGUAGAUAUUCGGAGGAACACCAGUGGCGAAGGCGGCUCACUGGCUCGAUACUGACGCUGAGGUGCGAAAGCGUGGGGAGCAAACAGG